rnacentral:rRNA from 1 species
AUGGAUCACGGCGGAGGAGGUCGUGGGAUGGCAGGGUACGAGGCGGCUGCGGCGGCGGCUUCCACCAACCAGAAGACCGAAAGCUUCGGAGGCUGUUCCAGCUCCAACAGCGUGAAGAAAAUUUACCCCAUUGACAGUCCAAUUAAGAAAAGAAAGUUACAGUAUGACCUCAGUGACACAAGGCUGUUAUCGCUGAAAUACAAGUUUCAGGACCGACGAACUUCACAGGAGGAUGAGACUGCAAGAACAGAAAGCUUAGGAGGUGAUGACAUUUUCAUCAACAAGAACUGUAAUGUGGACAUGGCCAAUGUUUACAAGGAAUUGGACUCGUGUGAGAAUACUCAAAGCCUUUUAGGUGGUUGCAUCGAAGUUGACUCCAUAAAUGCCAGGUAA